rnacentral:misc_RNA from 1 species
AACGCACGAGACCUGCGGACCUGCGGAAGGAUCAUUAAUGUUACCUCAUCCAACUUGCUUGCUGGCGAUCACUCUUUUCUCAAAGAGUCGAGCGCCAGCAAGCAAAGCACCCGUGAAAAGGUUAAAGUCCUUAACAGCAUCCAGCAUCGCUGGACCUGCUGUUAAAAAGCACCUCUUAAAUAAUCACGUCUAAUGAAUGAGCUUUUUUGAUUCAUCUUCUGAUGAAUCGAGAGCGAUUUA